GGGCGAGAUACAGAUUUGUGGAAGUGAAAAAAUAAAGAAAGAAAAAAGAAAAAUCAUGUCGCUAAAGAGGACAAACCCAAACAGGCGGAAACGUAGGUUAUUAUUACCUCCCCUACACGUGCCACUGCCUGGAACGUGCAUUUCUAGGGAGUUAUCUCUCUAUAUAAAGGUUUCUCAAACCGUUAUGUGACUUAGGCCUGUGACAUGGGAUGAUAUGUCACCGAAGUGUGCAUAGGGCCUGUUACUUGUGAUAGUUUGUGGCAGACAUACAAGAGCACUGGAACUGUGGUCUACAUUCUGUGUUAAUAUUUGUAUUCGAACUGUCAUAAGCAACAAAUUAAACCAUACAAUGCGAGUACCCAGGAUGAUUGUAUCCUAUUCUAUGCCAGAUCAUCGAAUAUAAGUGUAUGUUGACUGCUGUGAAGAUUUGCAGGAAAUAAAAGAAGCCACAGUCUGAUGUCACUCCUUUCGGGACCGGACGCAAUAUUAAUGUACGUCUGAGGCACUUCUGUGAGACGUCUGACGUCUUGUUACCUACGUUGUGAGUGAAGACACGUCACAUCCCGGAAACGGGGACAGACAAACGAACAAACGAAAAAGCAGACGAGAGGCAGCGAUAGGUUGAAAAAAAAAAAGUUAUGAAUGAAAACGACAACUUUACCCCCUCAAAAAAAGUGACUUAAUACCGCCAGCUGGCUCAGGUACGCUACAGCAGAUGACAAGAUUCCUCCUGGAUGUUAAGUUAUAAAGACCAACCAUGAUCCUUUUCAAAGAGUUACUUUCGCCAUUGCGCAAAUGAAUGGUUUAAAUCGUCUAUGUACAGAUUUGUUUGCUCAGCUGGUCAGAUAGUCUCGCAGAUGUGGGCAGUAUUGUGAAGAUGCUCAAAGCGUCAUGGUCACCGUUUUCCUAGCCAUCUCUCUAUUUCUCUCGCUCGACCUCGAACGGACCAUGGUCGCGUCCGUCUCGAUACAACUUAAAAAAGACAUCAUGGCGCUACAGCCGCAGACGACCAAAUGGACAGGCAGCGCUCAGCCAGAGUACCGCUUGUCUGGAACCAAAAGAAAUGCAACUUUCGAUAUUUCUUCCAUAAGUGUAGGGAAAAGUUCCAAAACACUGCAUACAGAAUUUAACGUGCAUAAACACGCUUUUCGAAAAAUGAAUACUUCUGAUUCCAGCCUUAGAUCUAAUUUAUUCUAUUUAUUAAAUAAUCAUCAAAAGGUGACAGGAUUGAUCUCAGAAACUGAUGACGCCACUAGACCACAAAAACACUUGAUACCAUUAUUUAUAUCGGACAAGAAAACUGGAGUUCAAAGAUUUAGUAAGGCUCCAAUCACGAGUGUUGAAUUAUCAAACUAUCGAGUGGAGAGAGAUACCAGUUUACUAAACACUGACUGUGGGUCACUGACGCCAGAACGCUGCCAGGCAAUACGCUUGAGAAUGUGUGUCACCAUCUGCGUGGAUAGCUACAUGGUGAUCGUGUGCAGGAGGAGGCAAGGUUGCAGCAUAAUAAGAAAUUAGACAUCAGUGCCCUAGUUCUAGUCGCCCACAUUAAGAUCUCAACGUCACUGAACCCAGCUUUCUACAAGAUCUCGUAUGGACAAAGCAUUCGACGAGAUCUCGUAUGGACUCAACUUCAACGAGAUCUCGUAUGUACCAAGCAUUCGUCGAGAUCUCGUUUUGGACCAAAAUUUAUGGACAAAGCAUUCAACGAGAUCUCGUAUGGACCGAACAUUCAAAAUUCUCAUAAGGACCAAGCAUUUAACGAGAUCUCGAAUGGACCAAGCCUUCAGCGAGAUCUCGUAUUAUUUUUUUAUAAUUUAUUUUUAUUUGAGAUGUCGCGGGGAGAGUAACUGGCAAUCUUUUGCCAAGUGUAAUCUCUGAUAAAGGCUGUAAUUGUAAUUUUAUAUUUGUAAGUUAUGGAUCGUUGUUUUAUGAAGCCUAUUAUUACUAUUUUACUUUUUUAGUCCUCUGUCCUGUAGUUUUUCUAAAUUUAGCGAUUUUACGGGUGGUGUUACUAGUUAAUGUAGUGAAACGUGAAUAAUCGUUUGUUAAAUCCUCAUCUCUAUUUUGGUCUGUACUAGUUUCUAUACAAGUUUUUUUUCUCUUUUAAUUGAGCUGUUCCAAACAAAGGAUGCAUAUUCUAAUAUUGGCCCAACCAGGUUGAAUAGCAUUUAGUUUUAUGUUUUAUGAUUAAUUUGUCAAAAAAUAAACUUUUAAUUUAAAAAAAAAGCGUAAUGCUUUUUUUUUUAUUUUUUAAUCAUUUCCACAGUAUGUGAAUAGCAUGUAUACUUUUUGUUUAUUUCUUAACUUUAGAUCUAGGUAUUUUAAGUUUUUUUGUCUGUGUAAUUGGUUAAAGUAGUUUUUAUUUGUAAAAUUGACAUUACUAUGCCUUCAUCAAAUCACUCUGUCUGUCAGUCUUUCAAGGGGCUUGGAAUCAUUUUUGACUUGGUGGGCCAUUUAAAACAAACCCUAUUCUCUGUAGUCUUUCUGUAAUUUUCGAAUUCUGCAUUAAGUAAAAUUAGUGAGUAUAUCAAUUUUUAACAAGGUUUCACAAAUAUAUAUAAUGCUGAUUAUAUGAUACGAGUAAGCUCUCAUGCUAGUUUCUAGCUGAUAGGACGCCAUUUUGGGUAACAUCAACAGUUGACAAGGGACAUUACUGCCAUAUACUGAGAAGCAUACAGACUUUAUGUUUGUCCCUUGUAUGUCCUGUGAUGAGUUCACUCCCUUCUUAGCAACACUUCACAUGAAUUAACUCUCUCAUGCAGUAUUGAGAGAUAUGACAGUUCUUGUGCGUUUCUUUCCCUUAUAUAAGCUUUUGAAAAGUUUUUUUUUUUUACUAUUUCGCUUGUUAUUGUGAUCCUUAGAGAUUACAUUGUUAAUGUGUUCACUCUGCUCAGUUUUUUUGGUUAGGUGCUCCAUUAUUCAAUAAUUUCUACUGACUCUUGCCUCAAUUGUAUCCUGUUUGCAAUGUUUGUUUUUUUGGGGUUUUUUUUUGUUGUUUUUUUUAAUUUGGUAUUCAACCGGCAUUUAUCAAUUUAGUUGUGCACUAGAAUAUAAUUUUUGAUAUUCCGUAAAUACUGUCUGUUAUUACAAAUGUUGUAAAGUAAAGUUCCCCUUUCAGACCUUGCAAUCUAUAUGGCAGAUGAUGUUAAGGGCAUCUGUUUCUUUGGCCAACGGUUAACGAGCAAUGUGGCAAGCACAACGACCAACCGCCUUUACUUUCCCCAACUAAAGUCAGGUACCCAUUAGAGAUGGGUGGACUCAGGGGCGCCCUAAAAAUCCCGAAAUUCAAAAUCCCAGUCUUUACCGAGAUUCGAACCCAUGACCCCAGGUUCGGAAGCCUAGCGCUUAACCACUCAGCCACUGCGCCCACCUAUUACAGAUGUUGAGAUGUUGUUAAUUUUGCAAAAUGAUUAUUCAAUUUUUAUUAUAUUUUUUUCCUAGACUAAUUUCUUCUGCUAUCAGUGUGUAUGUGUGUGUGUGUAUGCGUGCGCGCGUGUGUGUGUGUUUAAAUGGCUUUCCAUAAAAAUAUAAUAAUGGAUAUUGAAAAUGUCUGUAUUCAGUAGUGCCUGUUCCCAUACCCUCAUUCUGUCUAGCGUUUCCAUUUUUAAUAAGAUUUAUAAGUCUGCUAAUUUGUUUGUAAUAAAAAUGUAUGACUAGGGCUUAAGGUGCUGAGGUAUUUCUUCUUUAUCAAAUUCAAUUUAUGGGGCUUUUCCUUUAGGUUUAGACCCGUUUAGUAUAUCUUGAUUUUUUAUAGAGCUUAAAUUGUUAAGUGGUGUAAGGUAAGGUAACCCACACAGAACACUGUACUAUGAUUCAUCUUGUUAUCUAAUGUAUAAUAUGUUGAGAUGCUCUUGUGCAGCGAAGUGCAUGAGACAAUAAAUCACAGGUGUCGCAUUGAA